GAUGAACGCUGGCGGCGUGCUUAACACAUGCAAGUCGAACGGUGAACGAGGGAGCUUGCUCCCUCCGGAUCAGUGGCGAACGGGUGAGUAACACGUGGGCAACCUGCCCCAGACUUCGGGAUAACGCUUCGAAAGAGGUGCUAAUACCGGAUACGAACUCCUUGGGCAUCCUUGGGGUUGGAAAGUUUUUCGGUCUGGGAUGGGCCCGCGGCCUAUCAGCUUGUUGGUGAGGUAACGGCUCACCAAGGCGACGACGGGUAGCCGGCCUGAGAGGGCGACCGGCCACACUGGGACUGAGACACGGCCCAGACUCCUACGGGAGGCAGCAGUGGGGAAUAUUGCGCAAUGGGCGAAAGCCUGACGCAGCAACGCCGCGUGAGGGAUGACGGCCUUCGGGUUGUAAACCUCUUUCAGCAGGGAAGAAGCGAAAGUGACGGUACCUGCAGAAGAAGCACCGGCUAACUACGUGCCAGCAGCCGCAGUAACAC
rnacentral:rRNA from 1 species